rnacentral:rRNA from 1 species
UACAUAGGGUGCGAGCGUUAAUCGGAAUUACUGGGCGUAAAGCGUGCGUAGACGGUUAUUUAAGUCGGAUGUGAAAGCCCCGGGCUCAACCUGGGAAUUGCAUUCGAGACUGAAUAGCUAGGGUACGGUAGAGGGAAGUGGAAUUUCCGGUGUAGCGGUGAAAUGCGUAGAUAUCGGAAGGAACAUCAGUGGCGAAAGCGACUUCCUGGACCAGUACCGGCGUUCAGGCACGAAAGCGUGGGGAGCAAACAGG